UUAAAAAAAAAUUAAUAAUUCUACAUCGGCUAUACAGAUAACUGAUGUAGAAUGCUUUACCAUGGGGUAACAUUCUACGAUGUUUGACGGCCACACCCGAUGUAGAAUGUUGACAAUUCUACAUCGGUUAUUAGGAAAAUCGAUGUAGAAAGCUGGCAUUCUAAGACGGUUUAGAUACCAACCUGUCUUAGAUUGGGGAGAAUUCUACAUCGAUUGUCUGAAUAACCAAUGUAGAAUGGUCAGCACUCUACAUCGGGUUUGGGUCGACACCCGUCUUCGAACCUAAGCCAUUCUACAUCGGUCGUUCAACCAUCGUAAUAAGACAAUGGUGUUUCAACGACGCCGACUAUGAUGACGUGUCAUAACUGAUAUAGAAAGACGUUUUUAACCGAUGUAGAAAGCCUUUUUGUAGUAGUGUGGGUUGACAUUCUACGACAACCGCUACGACGAUGGUUAGAAAUCGACGUUGUAUGUGUUGUGUAACCGAUGUAGAAGCACCGUUUUCCAAUAGUGCAGGGCAAUUCUUGGAUUCACCUAGUCCAUCAAACACAAUUUCAUCUCAGUCGUUAGUGGUUAAUUAGCUCAAUUCUUGUGUGCAUGAUUUGGGGUAAGGACCUUGAAAAUAAGGUCCCAAGUAGACCCAACAACAAUGAUAGACUGGACCUGGUUAGUCUUAAAAAAAAUAAAAAUUAAGUGAUUUAAGGAUUUUAUAGAAUGGGUAUACAACUUAGGAUAUUAUUUAUUUUUUUAAUGUUAUUUUAUUUUGAUUACCAAAACUAGGAUGACACAACUAGGAUGCUUGUUAUUUCUGGUGGAUCCAUAUUUACUAUAAGGCUUGUCCCACUACUACAAAAACAUGAAUUAACAUUGUCAAAUCUACAUCAGUUAUUAAAAAACCGAUGUAGUAAAUAUCGCGGUGGCAUUUUUGAAAUUUAUAGGAACUUUUUGACAAGUUAAUGACGGUUAUUAUAAAACCGCCUUCGAUCUACAUCUUACAAAGGCGGUUUUUAUAAAAUCGCCUUUGUUCUUUAAGUGGACCACGACGGUUUUCAUUGGCAUUGUCUUUGAAUUGCAAAUAUUUUAAAUGAAUUUUUCUACUUUGUAAGCUCACUAGUAUAUAAGUACUCUACGUGCAUCUAUCUGAAUUCUCUUUAUAGAGUAAACCCUCUUUCACUCCCAACGCAAUCGCAAGCUUCAUCUUGACCUCCUUCACUCUGUCGUGAGGGUCAAACUGUGCUGCAAGCUCGGUUGUCGUCGCUGAUCCUCCACUGCGGCGUGUUCUGCACCUGGCAGUGACUACACUGUCGCUGAAUCUGGACUCCAACGGGCUGGACCUGGGCCUCGACCCGCUUCUUCUGCUUCUUCGCGGGCGGCAAAGACGGGAGCGAGAGCAAUGUGCUGCCCAAUGACCACACACGAGUGUUGGGCUUCCUAUUCCGUACAGUUCUCGCCUUGCUCGUUAUUUUCAUUUCCCACGAAAAACGAGGCAUUUUCUUCAUUGAGGGUUCCGAUUCAAUAAACUGGUUCGCUUCCUCUAAACGAACCAGGUAUAAAAGUGAUAGCUCUGAGAGUGAAUCAUCCUUUUCCCUCUUGGUGAUUACUUCAAUUCACUACUUUGAUAUAUGAACAACUGUUCUUACAUCUUGGGUCUUUCAUUGGGCUGAUUUGCCUUUGCAUGAGUAGGAUAUCCCUGAUGGUGACUGGUUUUGUCCAUGUUGUCGUUGCGGGAUUUGUAGACAAACCAAAAUAGAAGGGAUUGAGGAUGGUGAUUUACUUGCUUGUAUUCAAUGUGAACAUAAAUAUCAUGUUGGAUGCUUGAAAGAUAGAGAAAAAUCUGAGUCACGAAGAUAUAUGAAAAAUUGGUUGUGUGGAAAAGAGUGUGAACAGAUAUAUGAAGGACUCCAAAGUUAUUAGGAAAGCCACUUAUAGUGGGUGCGAACAAUCUAACAUGGACAUUGAUGAAGUUUAUCAACUCUGAGAGUUGUGAUGUUGGUAGUACUAAGAAUGACUUAUUGGCAGAGAAAUACAACAAACUCAGUGUUGCACUUUUGGGUAUUUGGACAAAAAGUAGCAGAAGUACCACUUGUAGGUACCAGAAUAUAAUAUCGUCGACUUGGAAUCUGUCAAAUUCUAAUGGAUGAGCUUGAAAAAGUAACAUAAAAAAGCAUGCAAAUUAGAGGAGAUGAUAAGGGGGCUCAUUCAGGUAUCUUGGGAGCGUGUGGCAAUUGGUAUUUCUUUUAUUGUUUGCACCAUUGCCCAAAACUUGAAGCUAUAGUGGCUAGGCAUAUACAAGCACAAUUUCAAACCUCUGGCAAGCAAGCUCUUCAGUUUACUGCAGUUCCAGUCAUAGUAACAACUUACACAUUUCAUUUUAAUGUACAUCCAAUUGGGUUUGAGCUUGUCAAGCCAUCAGAAAUGGCAACAACAGUUCGAAUAGCAUUGCUGCUUUGUGGUGUCAUCCAAUUGGGUUUGUGAGCCUCACUCUAGUGCUGCUUGUCUUAAGCUACAUUGCUACUAUUGUUAGUAACUUUCAUUUUUUAUU